rnacentral:rRNA from 1 species
GACGAACGCUGGCGGCGUGCUUAACACAUGCAAGUCGAACGGAAAGGCCCUGCUUUUGUGGGGUGCUCGAGUGGCGAACGGGUGAGUAACACGUGAGUAACCUGCCCUUGACUUUGGGAUAACUUCAGGAAACUGGGGCUAAUACCGGACAGGAGCUCCUGCUGCAUGGUGGGGGUUGGAAAGUCUCGGCGGUUGUGGAUGGACUCGCGGCUUAUCAGCUUGUUGGUGGGGUAGUGGCUUACCAAGGCUUUGACGGGUCGCCGGCCUGAGAGGGUGACCGGCGACGUUGGGACUGAGAUACGGCCCAGACUCCUACGGUAGGCAGCGGUGGGGAGUAUUGCACAAUGGUCGGAAGCCUGAUGCAACAGCGCCGCGUGCGGGAUGACGGCCUUCGGGUUGUAAACCGCUUUCGCCUGUGACGAAGCGUGAGUGACGGUAAUGGGUGAAGAAGCACCGGCUAACUACGUG